AUAAAUUAAAAAAAAAAAAACAAAAAACAACAACACAAGCCUCGGUGUGUGUGCGUUUCUUUCGCUUUCUUGAUUUUCUUCUCUUCUCUCUUUUUUCCUUUUGCGU
rnacentral:ribozyme from 14 species